rnacentral:lncRNA from 1 species
CAAGUCUGCCCCACAGGCUGUUACAGGGUGGGGCUUCUAUGGGCUGCCAACCAGAGCAGCUUUGCCCUGAUGGAGAUGUGUUCACCGUGGCUGCACUGUGGGAAGAACCAAUAUGGUCAGAUCGUAAAGGAACUCAGCUUCUUCUACCCUGGCCAUUUCUAUGAUCAAAGGACAUUUGAGAAAAGAUUUAUCCUUUUGCAUGCAGCAGAGUCCCAGCAUAACUUGUUGUGACCCCCAUCACCAUCAGUGCAAAAUGAUGUACAGUCAAGUGGCAAAUCAUGAGGUCAGUUCCAAGGGGUGGGAGCCAGGAGGGGCUGAGCAGAAAGGGAGACCAGAACAUCCAGCUUCUAAUUUCCUCUGUUCCUCCCAACAGGAAACUCAGAAGCCUUCAAUACUAGGGUUGGAUGUGAAUGCCUUCUCACAAGUUGGUGUGAGGCCUGAGCGGGACCUGGUACCUCGUAUGCUGCCUACAUGAAAUCACGUCCGUCCACGGUGCUGACGAUGCUGCAGGUGAGGAUUCGCAGGCCACGAUUCUGAUGACAGCACCACUAUCCACCCCUUCCUCCAUCCCUCCCCCUCAGCAUUCCGUCCUCAGCAAGUGAACGGAUCUUGCCCUGCCCUCCCCAAGCAUCGCCCCGUUCGACCACCUGCUCUCCUUUCCCCAACCCAGCUGACUAAAGCGCUGGAGAAGACAGACCCCAGUCUGUCAGGAUCCCCCACCCCUGGAGAUAGGACGUUGGGCAAGGGACUUGAUAUCCCUGAGCCUCUGUAACUGUGCUGCUUCUUACCUUACUAGGUACUGUGAGAUUUAGUGAGACUGUGAAUCAGUUAACCCAGAGCCAGGCCCAGAGCAAACAUUAGCUUCUGUGUUCAUCUUCUUGGACUGGGCCUGCUGCUCAGCCCUGGGGCCAGAGCUGGGAAAGACGCGGGCACUGCUUCCAGGCCUCCACACUCAGGUGUGGGAGAUGGACACCUGCAUAGCAGCUGGAACUCAGGGUGCCAGAGGCGGCUGUAGGGGCCGCUCCAGGAGGCCUCCCAGAGGGGUCCACACUGGGAGGUGGGCAGGGGGUGCCGGGUGGCAUUGCGGGCUGAGCACUGCACACACGAGCAGAGACACUGAAGCCUGUUCCAAACACACCCCGAUGCUAAAGCCGCCAACCCAAGUUGCUUGCAGGAGUCUGAAGAGAGA